GUACUGAUGAAGAGUCCCAAACUAGGACGAAACGGCUGUCCAGUAG
rnacentral:hammerhead_ribozyme from 1 species